rnacentral:ncRNA from 1 species
UUAUUUUGAUUCUAAUUAUUUUAUUAAUUUAAUUGAAUAUACACAUAUGAAUAUUUAUAUAUUAUUAUGAUUAGUAGUGUUUUAUUUUGAAAUAUUAAGGUUACUUUGAAUUGGGUAUUUGUUUUAUUAUUGUACAAUUUUGUGCCAGCAUACGCGGUUAUACAAUAGAUGUUAAUUAAUAUUUUUGGUAUAGAAUAGAUAAAGUUGAUUUGGGAUUAAUAUUUUUGUUUUUAAGUGAAAUUUAAAUUUUAAUUAAUUUUUUGUUGAUUCUUUGAAAUUUUGGUUUAAACUAGGAUUAGAUACCCUAUUAUUAUAAAUGUUAAUGUUAUACCCAGGUAGUAAUUGGUAUAUCUUUAAACCUAAAGAAUUUGGCGGUGUCUUAUUCUAAUCAGAGGAACUUGUUCAGUGAUCGAUAUUCCCCGUUUUAUCUUACUUUAAUUAUUUAGUAUGUAUACCGCCGUUAUAAGCUUAUUUUUUAAGAAUUUUAAUUUGCUAAUAUAUUUAUUUGUUAUUAUUUCAGGUCAAGGUGCAGCUUAUAUUUAAGUUGAAAUGAGUUACAAUAUGAUUGUAUGUGGAUUUGAAUUUUAUAAUUUCAUUAAAAUUGGAUUUGAUUGUAAUUUUUAUAAUAGAAUGUAAUUGAUCAUAGCUCUAAGAUGAGCACAUAUCGCCCGUCACUCUCAAUCUUUUUGAGAUAAGUCGUAACAUAGUAGAUGUACUGGAAAGUGUAUCUGAGUU